rnacentral:rRNA from 1 species
UGAGUAACCUGCCCCUGGCUUUGGGAUAACCAUCGGAAACGGUGGCUAAUACCGAAUAUUCACUUUGGGUUGCAUGACCUUUUGUGGAAAGUUUUUCGGCUGGGGAUGGGCUCGCGGCCUAUCAGCUUGUUGGUGGGGUAAAGGCCUACCAAGGCGACGACGGGUAGCCGGCCUGAGAGGGCGACCGGCCACACUGGGACUGAGACACGGCCCAGACUCCUACGGGAGGCAG